UCAUUUUUCAUUCUAGAAGAAAAAGCUGGAAAAAGACACCGAAGCAGUGAGGUAUCUCUUCCCAUCUCUAAAACUAGCCCAAACCCUUUAGCUGAGGCGUCUCGUGCUAGGAAGGGCACAGUGCAGCUGGUCUGAGGGUGCCCGCGUGGCACUGUGGGUCAGUGCGAUGAUGCUGAGAAACACUUUUUUUUUUCACUUUUUUUUGCCACUCCUGGGCAGGCUGAACUUUCUUUCACGCUAGGCGGCUCUCCUUACGGGGCACACUCCUUGCGCGUGGGGCUCCCCUACUCGGGGACACUCCUGCGUGGCAGGGCACUCCUUGCACACAUCAGCACUGCGCAUGGGCCAGCUCCACACGGGUCAAGGAGGCCCGGGGUUUGAACCAUGGACCUCCCAUGUGGUAGGAGGAUGCCCUAUCCCUUGGGCCAAAUCCAUUUCCCCUGAGAAACCUUAAAAUCUUAUUUUCUGACCUGAGGCCACUUCUGGCAACACCCUCCAAAGAAUCCCUUCUAAAACUUAGGGAGAAAUGGGUGCACUAAGACGUUUCACCACAUUUUUCAAAUAGUAGCAGAAGCGGAGGCACCCUACACGCCUACCCAUCUAAUAGGUGAGCAAACUCCAGCACAUCUCCAUGGAAUGUUGCAGGAGGCUUAGGAAGACUCCAGCAGCCUGGGAAGUGUCUGUAGAGUUAGAAGAACAGGAUAUCAAAUCCCUCCCACCUGAUUUCACAUGUUUUCAGAAGAAGUUCGACCCCAAAACAACAAACAAAAACCCUUAUAGGAAAUACACCAACAUGUCCAUAUUGGUGGCAGAUCCAGGUCCAGUCUUAAAGGCAAGAGUCCUGGGUCAAAGGCCGCACCGCAGCUCAGACUUAAAAAGCCCAGAUCCAAGAAAUGAAUCGGGAAGCGACCCGCCGUGGCGGCUGAGGGGGCGGAGCUCUGAGACCACCUUGCAAGAGGGGCCCUUGGGGUGGGGGAGCCCCUCUACCCAGGCCCCCCCCUCCUCGGGGCCCCCCUCCGUCUCCAAGCCUUAAUGUGAUGGGGCCUGCUGGGGGGCAGCACAAGAGCCCCCCACUGCUCCAGUUUCAGCAGGACCAGGAAGCAGAGUGCGCACUGCAGGGUCCCAAUAAAGUUUGCUCUAUGAGGAU
rnacentral:lncRNA from 1 species